rnacentral:rRNA from 1 species
ACAGUCACACAUUAGAUACCCGGGUAGUCCUAGCCGUAAACGAUACUCGCUAGGUGUCGGCCACGGUGCGACCGUUGUCGGUGCCGUAGGGAAGCCGUGAAGCGAGCCACCUGGGAAGUACGGCCGCAAGGCUGAAACUUAAAGGAAUUGGCGGGGGAGCACAACAACGGGUGGAGCUUGCGGUUUAAUUGGAUUCAACGCCGGAAAUCUUACCGGGACCGACAGCAACAUGAAGGCCAAGCUGAAGACUUUGCCGGAUUAGCUG